AAUCCGUGAGGCGUCGCGUCAUUACCCGCGUCGUCAGUACGACGUCGCUGAAGAGCGUCGGCAAUCGUUGUCGACACCGCUGGAAUCCCAGUCAGGAAAGACAUUUAAAAGGAGGAAGAAAAGAAAGAUCCGACAAGAAGAGAACGGCAACUACAUGAGGCGAGGGACAACGGAAGAAGAAGGCUCAGAACCACGACCUCUCAUUCCGCUUUUAUCCCGACUCGUUACGCCGACACUACCACCGCUUCAUUGAAUGACUCAUUUUAUUUUCCGCUAAACGUGAGGAAAAAAGCUGUUGCGAGAGUCGGCUCAACUGUCUAACACGUGUGUCGACUGAUGAGCGCGGGGUCGUAUCAGGUAAAAAACAAGAGAAAGCAAAAA